AAAUUGAAGAGUUUGAUCCUGGCUCAGAUUGAACGCUGGCGGCAUGCUUAACACAUGCAAGUCGAACGGUAACAGGAGAGAGCUUGCUCUCUUGCUGACGAGUGGCGGACGGGUGAGUAAUGCAUAGGAAUCUGCCCUGGAGCGGGGGACAACCUGGUGAAAACCAGGCUAAUACCGCAUACGACCUACGGGGGAAAGUGGGGGACCUUCGGGCCUCACACUCUAGGAUGAGCCUAUGUCGGAUUAGCUUGUUGGUGGGGUAAAGGCCUACCAAGGCGACGAUCCGUAGCUGGUCUGAGAGGACGAUCAGCCACACUGGGACUGAGACACGGCCCAGACGCCUACGGGAGGCAGCAGUGAGGAAUAUUGGAUAAUGGGGGCAACCCUGAUCCAGCAAUGCAGCGUGUGUGAAGAAGGCCUGCGGGUUGUAAAGCACUUUCAAUUGGGAGGAAAAGCUGAGCGUUAAUAGCGUUUAGUCUUGACGUUACCAUUAGAAGAAGCACCGGCUAACUCCGUGCCAGCAGCCGCGGUAAUACGGGGGGUGCAAGCGUUAAUCGGAAUUACUGGGCGUAAAGCGCGCGUAGGCGGCUUAAUAAGUCAGAUGUGAAAUCCCCGGGCUUAACCUGGGAACUGCAUUUGAAACUGUUUGGCUAGAGUGAGUGAGAGGUUAGUGGAAUUCAAGGCGUAGCGGUGAAAUGCGUAGAGGUCUUGAGGAACAUCAGUGGCGAAGGCGACUAACUGGCACUACACUGACGCUGAGGUACGAAAGCGUGGGGAGCGAACAGGAUUAGAUACCCUGGUAGUCCACGCCCUAAACUAUGAGAACUAGCUGUUGGCGCUAUAGACGCGUCGGUAGCGAAGCUAACGCGUUAAGUUCUCCGCCUGGGGAGUACGACCGCAUGGAUGAAACUCAAAGGAAUAGACAGGGGCCGCCACAAGCGGUGGAGCAUGUGGUUUAAUUCGCAGCAACGCGAAGAACCUUACCAUCCCUUGACAUCCUCAGAAUUUGUCGUAAUGACUUAGUGCCUUCGGGAACUGAGAGACAGGUGCUGCACGGCUGUCGUCAGCUCGUGUCGUGAGAUGUUGGGUUAAGUCCCGCAACGAGCGCAACCCCUAUCUUUAGUUGCCAGCACGAUGGUUGUAACUCUAGAGAGACUGCCGGUGAUAAGCCGGAGGAAGGUGGGGACGACGUCAAGUCAUCAUGGCCCUUACGGGAUGGGCUACACACGUGCUACAAUGGUGCAUACAGAGGGUUGCCAACCAGCGAUGGGGAGCUAAUCCCAGAAAGUGCAUCUUAGUCCGGAUUGGAGUCUGCAACUCGACUCCAUGAAGUUGGAAUCGCUAGUAAUCGCGAAUCAGCAACGUCGCGGUGAAUACGUUCCCGGGCCUUGUACACACCGCCCGUCACACCAUGGGAGUGGGUUGCACCAGAAGUAGCUAGACUAACCUUUCAGGAAGACGGUCACCACGGAGUGAUUCAUGACUGGGGUGAAGUCGUAACAAGGUAGCCGUUGGGGAACCAGUGGCUGGAUCACCUCCUUA
rnacentral:rRNA from 1 species